rnacentral:rRNA from 1 species
UACAGAGGUCUCAAGCGUUGUUCGGAAUUACUGGGCGUAAAGGGCUCGUAGGCGGCCAACUAAGUCAGACGUGAAAUCCCUCGGCUUAACCGGGGAACUGCGUCUGAUACUGGAUGGCUUGAGUGUGGGAGAGGGAUGCGGAAUUCCAGGUGUAGCGGUGAAAUGCGUAGAUAUCUGGAGGAACACCGGUGGCGAAGGCGGCAUCCUGGACCGGUAUUGACGCUGAGGCGCGAAAGCCAGGGGAGCAAACGGG